GAUCAUGGCUCAGGACGAACGCUGGCGGCGCGCCUAACACAUGCAAGUCGAACGAGAGAGAGGGAGCUUGCUUCCUCAAUCGAGUGGCGAACGGGUGAGUAACGCGUGAGGAACCUGCCUCAAAGAGGGGGACAACAGUUGGAAACGACUGCUAAUACCGCAUAAGCCCACGGUGCCGCAUGGCACAGAGGGAAAAGGAGCAAUCCGCUUUGAGAUGGCCUCGCGUCCGAUUAG
rnacentral:rRNA from 1 species